GUAGCCAACACUGUUUUUUAUAUAUAUAUAUAUAUAUAUAUAUAUAAUUUAUUUAUUUUUUAAUUGGGGUAGCCCCCAAAAUAUUGGGACAUAUAAAAAAGACAACUCUGUUCCACAGAGUAGCUGUUGACAUUAUAGUUGCGCAGGCACUUUGUUGACUCUAGAGAACCUCGGGCCAAUCGCACAUCCCUGUGACAGCGACUUUUGGAUUUCAUCCAUAUCAACUUUUGAUGCCAGUUUCUGCGCCUACCAUGGUGACCACGGGUAACAGGGAAUUAGGGUUCCAUUCCGUACAGGGACCCUGAGAAAUGGCUACCACAUGCAAGGAAGGCAGCAGGUGCGCAAAUGACCCACUCCAGACGCGGGAAGGUAGUGAC